AGAGUUUGAUCAUGGCUCAGGACGAACGCUGGCGGCGUGCUUAACACAUGCAAGUCGAACGGAAGCGCUUUUCGGAGUGACUCGAGUGGCGAACGGGUGAGUAACACGUGGGUGAUCUGCCCUGCACUUUGGGAUAAGCCUGGGAAACUGGGUCUAAUACCGGAUAGGACUACGAAUCGCAUGGCUUGUGGUGGAAAGCUUUUGCGGUGUGGGAUGGGCCCGCGGCCUAUCAGCUUGUUGGUGGGGUGAUGGCCUACCAAGGCGACGACGGGUAGCCGGCCUGAGAGGGUGUCCGGCCACACUGGGACUGAGAUACGGCCCAGACUCCUACGGGAGGCAGCAGUGGGGAAUAUUGCACAAUGGGCGCAAGCCUGAUGCAGCGACGCCGCGUGAGGGAUGACGGCCUUCGGGUUGUAAACCUCUUUCAACAGGGACGAAGCGUAAGUGACGGUACCUGUAGAAGAAGCACCGGCCAACUACGUGCCAGCAGCCGCGGUA
rnacentral:rRNA from 1 species